CAACGGAUAUCUCGGCUCUCGCAUCGAUGAAGAACGUAGCGAAAUGCGAUACCUGGUGUGAAUUGCAGAAUCCCGCGAACCAUCGAGUCUUUGAACGCAAGUUGCGCCCGAGGCCUUCUGGUCGAGGGCACGCCUGCCUGGGCGUCACGCCAAACACGCUCCCA
rnacentral:rRNA from 2 species